GUUGAACAAUUACUUAAGUCCCAUCCUCAAUCAACUGCUGGAAAAGUGACACUAUGUUUUGAAUAGCAACAUAGAAAGUCUAGGUCAGUCUCUUAUGUCAUGUCAUAGCAGCCACGGGCGUAGCAGGGGGAGCUAAAACAGUGACAGUAAACUGACGUACGAAAAUAAAAAUUGGCACUGAAAAAUGUUCAACUGAAAAAUAAAUAAACAAUCUCACAAUCAUACAAUUUUAUUUUAUUUUGAUAUUUUUAGGCAUUAUGAUGUGCUUUUCAAUUUUAAUAUUACAUUUUUUUGGGAUGUCUGUCUUUUCAAUGACAGUUCUUUUUAUGCUGUCAUGAUUUUUACAAUGUCACUGGUUUUCAGUUUUAGCUCUCUGUCAACGGCCUUGAGGGGAAGGAGGAGGGUGCGAUUUACAGAUAAUUGCAGGGGGCGUGGCCGGCACCUCUCCCAUCACGCAUGCGGAGCCACGGGGCCGACAGUGUGGAGCCCACGGGCUACGGAGCUCUGCGCCUGGGGGUGUGUGAUGGGCGAGGUGCCGGCAGUGUGGUGAAGUCUUUCAUACGGGCCCAAAUUGGUCUGCUGAUAAACCAUGUUGAUUAAUUUGAUCUGCUAAGGAUAGCAUGCUAUCCCGGAGCACAACACAUGAAACAAACUGAGACCUGAUGUAAUACCACGGAAGGUGACUGUACGAUCUGGCUGAGUGAAAGAAUGAGCCGGUCUUAAAUACUGCAGACUGAAGAAUUUCCUACCAACGGAGGAUGUGUUGAUCUGCCCGCCGACUGGAGACAAGGAGCAGGGGUCGGCCCGACCACCAACGAAGCAUGUGUUGUGGCCGGCAAGGCCCAAUGCUAGCCGACGUGGAUCCUGGCUGGACACUAGCAGGCCCGAUGCUAGCCGACACGAAGACCAGCUGGAGACUAGCAGAUCCGACGCUAGCCGACUGGGAGGCUGGUUGGAGGGAGAAUGGCUGGGAGUCCUAGGUGUUCAAAAAGUCCAUCAGCCAGUCUCAGGGAACUUCCCCGUGUGCCAUGUGCAGAGCAGCCUCCUUGUAUUCCACCCCAAUGUCUCUUUAAAAUUCUCCAUGAAUAUAAAUCAAAGUGUAAAUCAAUUUAUGAUGCUCAAAAUAAAAUACAGCUCCUGCUGGGUCCAUUCUGGUCAGUUAGUACUUUAAAGGUUUGAGGAGUAGCAGGAUCCAACUGCAAGGUGCAAAGAAAAACUAUUUUUAAUUCACAUAACAGAGACAUAAUAGUCUUUCAGGUUGAACUAACAAAAAAUAAUGGAAGGGAAAAAGCAAACCGAACAAGGCACAGGAGAACAGACUGGGGGGGAAAUAACAGUUAACAGGCUGGGGCAAAAUUCACAGGGCAGGAAUCACAGACGAACUGACAAACACAAAGAGAAGCAGAGCGACUAAAUAGAGUGAAGAAGGCCCAGAUAAUGGGAAACAGGUGAGACACAUUAGGAACAGGUGCAGACAAUCACAAGGGCAAGAGACACAGGAAAAGUAAAGUGAACAGACAACAGAAAGGGAAACAGGAAGUGCAGAGCACAAGUAACAUGACUUCAAAAUAAUACAGGGAACAACGAACUCGAGAAACCAACACAGGGUAUAACAAAGGUAACGUAACAGAGAUACACAAGGAAUGCAAAAAUCCACAAGAGGCUGUGGCGGACUCAGGCUGUUUGAGGGGCAGGGGCGAAAAAAAUAAAAAGGACUCCUACUGCACGACGGCUCCACCAAUGGUGGGGGGUGAACUUCAGACCCUCUUGGGGGAUCCGGGGGCCAUGUCAAUAAAUUCAUAAAUGACUGAGCACUGAUAUGGCUACUAUGGAAAACUAUGGCUUUUUUACACAAACUAACAGCUGUCUAAGUUGUGAGAGGAUGUCACAGACAUGUAAUAGGUGGAUUGAUGUCAAUAAAUUCAUAAAUGACUGAGCUAUUGAAAAUGCAAAACUUGAAAUAUGCAUAUUAAUAUGCAUCUAAUGUUUCCUUUUUCAGUAGCUCACUUUUUUUGUAUCAGAUGUAAUCUCCGUCCAUAGACCUGAAGACACAUCAUGUGACCAUUCACAUACUCAUCAUGGGCAUGUGCCUGUCAGUGUUAACAGGAAGCAGAUUGUCUACUCUGCAGUCAGUUGCUUAGUUAAAGACAAUGCUAAAAACAAGAUACAGCAAUGGUAAAAAGUAAAAGCAGGGAUUUCUUUGCUUGGACAAUAAGGUGGAACUGUAAUGGUGCGUUCAAACCAAAUGAAAAGCAAUUUUUUUGCGCCAUGAGAUUACAUAUUAAGUCAAUGCAAAGCAACCUUUUCAUAUAUCACGCACAAUGUCAAGCUUUCCCUUUAACUCCCCUGCCGAUCUGGCCACUUACCAGCUGUUUUCAGACAUGAAUUCCAGGAAAAUGUCCGAAAAAUUGUGUCCAGACCUUUUCUGGAGUUUGCUGUUCACAUAAGAAGAACAAGCGUUCACAGCCAAAAAUACAUUUUUCCUGCUGUGUUCUCAAAUGGGCACACUGAUAUUUGACAUAAUUCUUACAAGGGGGCAGGCAGGAAAAGUUCUAUAAAAUGCCUUAAGCAACAUUUGCGUAUUCACACACAACCCCUUUGGAAAAGGUCAGAAAAAUGUCCGGAUUUCAGUGUCUGAAAGCAGCUACUGAGUAAAUAAAAUAGUGAAACAAUGUUGUUUCAGUAACAUGUUGUUUUCAGCUUAUUGGGGCCUUCAGUGAUAAAUUUGAAACUUACUAAUAAGAAGACAGGCUAUUAUUUUUCACUAAAUCCUUCUUAUAUCACCCAUGCUCACACUUUUAUUGUGCGAGUGACCACAACAACAAACAGUCCAGCUUUGAGAGGCAACAUGAUUGAUGAAGAACUGCAACCCUUAAAAAUAACUUCACAAACUGUAAUUUUGGAGUUAGAAACAUCUCAGGUGCGCAAUUAAAUUUUCUAUGUCAUGUAUGGAAAAUACCAGGCUCGUGUUCUACAGGCCCAGUGCUCCCCUUAGUAGAUGGCCCCCGUUCUGAGGAAAUAAUCAAUGCAACUGACAAAUACCAACAUGAAUUGAGCGGAAAAAGAAACACACAUAUUGAACUGAAAAUGUAUUGACUUGUGCUCAUGGGACAAUCCUUUAAUCCCUGAGCUCUUGUUAGAAAGUGUCAUUGACUAUAGAAAAAUCUAUUUUCAGCUGACAGACCUACAUUUGAAAAUAGGUGACCAGAUUUCAACAGAGAUGGAGAUAGAUGAUGGGUGGCAGGGAGUGUGUGUGUGUGUGUGUGUGUGUGUGUGUGUGUGUUUGUUUGUUUGAGUGCCUGUACUGUGGGUAUUUCUGUUUUUUUGGUGUGGUUGUGGUGUGGCCAGGGGGGUAGUCAGGUUUUCUUUUCUAGAGCGGAUCCAAAAUCCAACCCGUAAAGAGCCAUGAGAUUACAAAAAUGAGAUUGUGCCUGCAGUUUACAGGGAUGAAACUUACUGUGAGAACCUCCAUAAUGCGACGUGAGGGACGAAGGAUUGUGGUUCUCCUAAUGAUUCACCUUUCUGCUUCCAUUUUCUCCAAUAAAAAACUAUGAAACCUUUCAGAGUGGCGCAAUGGUGCCAUGUCAGUUAAAACCUGACGACUUUGAAAAGCGAAGGAGAACAUGAGAAUAAAUACUGUGGUGAAUUAUACAAAAUGUUAUGGUCAUCGCAAUCAUUCGUCUUAGGGAAUUUAAUCAUGCAAUUUACGUCCACAUAAGGACAUUUCAAAGGAUUCAUUAUCUUGUGUCUGAUUAUUAAGUGACAAGCAUUUAGGUCAAAAUGAAAAAGAAAAAGGUUUCAAUCCAACUAACGUUAACAGGCAGCCACACGUUAUCACUUGAGGAUUAACAAGGCUAAAGGUUGCGAGACAGGGGUCAUAAUAAUCCUGUAGAGUGAGACUUGGGACCUCAGAAAUGAAGUCGCCUCCUUAUCUCUGCAGAGUUACUGCAAACAGUAACAGAUUAACACCGCUUGGGUUGUUUGUUUUGGGGAUCUCCUGCUUUUAGCAGAGUGCUGUCUAGAGGCAAAGUAACAGCGAAACUCUCUCACUCCCCUGCCUGAAAAUGACCUCUGUGCAGUAAUUCUGAAAUGUCCGAUCAGUUAACUGCGACCAAACGACCAAGAAGGACCAUUACAGAGAAAUUUAUAUAGUGUGCGCCUGAG
rnacentral:lncRNA from 1 species